ACGCUGGCGGCGCGCUUAAUACAUGCAAGUCGAACGAGAAGCCAGAGCUUGCUCUGGUGGAAAGUGGCGAACGGGUGAGUAACACGUGAGAAACCUGCCCCAAAGAUUGGGAUAAGCCUUGGAAACGAGGUCUAAUACCAAAUACCUUCUUUUAACACAUGUUAAAAGAAGAAAUGCUCCGGCGCUUUGGGAUGGUCUCGCGAUCUAUCAGCUUGUUGGUGAGGUAACGGCUCACCAAGGCAUCGACGGAUAGCUGGUCUGAGAGGAUGUCCAGCCACAUUGGAACUGAGACACGGUCCAAACUCCUACGGGAGGCAGCAGUAGGGAAUCUUGCACAAUGAGGGAAACCUUGAUGCAGCGACGCCGCGUGCGGGACGAAGGCCCUAGGGUUGUAAACCGCUUUCAGUAGGGACGAAAGUGACGGUACCUACAGAAGAAGCCCCGGCCAACUAUGUG
rnacentral:rRNA from 1 species